rnacentral:rRNA from 1 species
GACGAACGCUGGCGGCGUGCUUAACACAUGCAAGUCGAGCGAGAAACUUCGGUUUCUAGCGGCGGACGGGUGAGUAACACGUGGGCAACCUGCCUCACAAUGGGGGAUAGCCUUCCGAAAGGAAGAUUAAUACCGCAUAACACAAAGGAAACGCAUGUUUCUUUUGCCAAAGAAUUUCGUUGUGAGAUGGGCCCGCGGCGCAUUAGCUUGUUGGUGAGGUAACGGCUCACCAAUGCGACGAUGCGUAGCCGACCUGAGAGGGUGAUGGGCCACAUUGGAACGGGGACACGGUCCAGACUCCUACGGGAGGCAGCAGUGGGGAAUAUUGCACAGUGGAGGAAACUCUGAUGCAGCAACGCCGCGUGAGUGAUGAAGGUCUUCGGAUUGUAAAGCUCUGUCUUCUGGGACGAUAAUGACGGUACCAGAGGAGGAAGCCACGGCUAACUACGUGCCAGCCGCCGCAGUAA